UAGGGAAUCUUCCGCAAUGGGCGAAAGCCUGACGGAGCAACGCCGCGUGAGUGAAGAAGGAUUUCGGUUCGUAAAGCUCUGUUGUUAGGGAAGAAUGAUUGUGUAGUAACUAUACACAGUAGAGACGGUACCUAACCAGAAAGCCACGGCUAACUACGUGCCAGCAGCCGCGGUAAUACGUAGGUGACAAGCGUUGUCCGGAAUUAUUGGGCGUAAAGCGCGCGCAGGUGGUUUAAUAAGUCUGAUGUGAAAGCCCACGGCUCAACCGUGGAGGGUCAUUGGAAACUGUUAAACUUGAGUGCAGGAGAGAAAAGUGGAAUUCCUAGUGUAGCGGUGAAAUGCGUAGAGAUUAGGAGGAACACCAGUGGCGAAGGCGGCUUUUUGGCCUGUAACUGACACUGAGGCGCGAAAGCGUGGGGAGCAAACAGGAUUAGAUACCCUGGUAGUCCACGCCGUAAACGAUGAGUGCUAAGUGUUGGUCUCAUAAGAGAUCAGUGCUGCAGCUAACGCAUUAAGCACUCCGCCUGGGGAGUACGACCGCAAGGUUG
rnacentral:rRNA from 1 species